CCUGGCCUUAGUCCCAGGUUCCUGAGCCAGAAAACCCCCCCGGAACUUCCUGAGUGAUACGGACGUCUUUGUUAUGCUGAUGAGGUGACUCUGCAGAGCCUCCAAUGUGGAUUCCAAAAGGAGGCAGCUCACCAGAAAGUUCAACUAUUGACAUGAUAAAGAGGCUGAGACUUCCAGCCGCUCCACCACCGGGCACUGAGAAGGGGGUGGAGGCUGAAUUCAAUCCAGUAUCCAGUCACAGACCACUGCCCACCACAUAAAAAACCUCAGUGAGCAGGCAAAUGUUGCAUCUGAUGAUUCUUCCCACAGACAUAUGGGAGAAGAGAUGCCAAGAAAGAUUGUCACAAUUUUGUUCACUUGGUGGAUUCUUUACCAGCUGAGCUACAAGGAAGACCCUCUUUCAAAACAAAUAUCCACGGUGAUGGGAAGAAAAGUCCAUUUUUUCAAAGGAACAUUUACACAUUUGCUUUUUCAUCCUAGUCACGCUAUACCACAGAAUAUGAAGUAGUACAUAAUUAAUAAACUUAAAAAAAAUUCAGAAAACUAAAUUCAAACAUUCCUAAGUGUUGCAUUAAAAAAUAAAAGUCAAUGUGCCAUAAGGACA
ensembl:lncRNA